rnacentral:misc_RNA from 1 species
UUUCCGUAGGUGAACCUGCGGAAGGAUCAUUAAUGAGUUGUCAUGGGGUUCGAUGCUGGCAGCCAAUUUUUGGAUGCAUGUGCUUGCCCUAACAAUCAUCUUCCAAACACCUGUGCACAUUUUUGAGGGAGUCUUGAGUUGGUUGCCGCUCUUGGGUGAUUUUCUCACAUUCCCUUAAAUCAUUAUACGCUAUUAACAAUGUUGAACGUGCUCUGUGCCGCAAGGCUAUUAAUAUAAUACAACUUUUAACAACGGAUCUCUUGGCUCUU